AGACUGGUGGUUCAGUGGUAGAAUUCUUGCCUUUUAUGCAGGAGACCUGGAUUUGAUUCCCAGCCAAUGCA
rnacentral:tRNA from 1 species